AUUGAACGCUGGCGGCAGGCCUAACACAUGCAAGUCGAACGCGUGGCGGACGGGUGAGUAAUGUCUGGGAAACUGCCCGAUGGAGGGGGAUAACUACUGGAAACGGUAUCUAAUACCGCAUACUAUCGGAUGUGCCCAGAUGGGUUUCGCUAGGAGGUGGGGUAAAGGCUCACCUAGGCGACGAUCCCUAGCUGGUCUGAGAGGAUGACCAGACACACUGGGACUGAGACAAGGCCCAGACUCCUACGGGAGGCAGCAGUGGGGAAUAUUGCACAAUGGGCGCAAGCCUGAUGCAGCCAUGCCGCGUGUGUGAAGAAGGCCUUCGGGUUGUAAAGCACUUUCAGCGAGGAGGCGUUACUCGCAGAAGAAGCACCGGCUAACUCCGUGCCAGCCGCCGCGGUAAUUC
rnacentral:rRNA from 1 species